rnacentral:rRNA from 1 species
AUUGAACGCUGGCGGCAGGCCUAACACAUGCAAGUCGAGCGGAGCGGCGGACGGGGGCGUAAUGCCUAGGAAUCUGCCUGGUAGUGGGGGAUAACGUCAGGAAACGGGCGCUCAUACCGAAUCCUAUCAGAAGAGCCUAUGUCGGAUUAGCUAGUUGGUGGGGUAAAGGCCUACCAAGGCGACGAGCCGUAACUGGUCUGGGAGGAUGAUCAGUCACACUGGAACUGAGACACGGUCCAGACUCCUACGGGAGGCAGCAGUGGGGAAUAUUGGACAAUGGGCGAAAGCCUGAUGCAGCCAUGCCGCGUGUGUGAAGAAGGUCUUCGGAUUGUAAAGCACUUUAAGUUGGGAGGCGUUACCAACAGAAUAAGCACCGGCUAACUUCGUGCCAGCAGCCGCGGUAAUAC